rnacentral:rRNA from 1 species
UGUGCCUACGGGAGGCAGCAGUGAGGAAUAUUGGUCAAUGGGCGCAAGCCUGAACCAGCCAAGUCGCGUGAGGGAAGACGGCCCUACGGGUUGUAAACCUCUUUUGCCGGGGAGCAAGCCUGAGCACGUGUGCCCAGGCGGAGAGUACCCGGAGAAAAAGCAUCGGCUAACUCCGUGCCAGCAGCCGCGGUAAUACGUAGGGGGCAAGCGUUAUCCGGAUUUACUGGGUGUAAAGGGAGCGUAGACGGCAGCGCAAGUCUGGAGUGAAAUGCCGGGGCCCAACCCCGGAACUGCUCUGGAAACUG